ACAUGCAAGUCGAGCGGUAAGGCCUUUCGGGGUACACGAGCGGCGAACGGGUGAGUAACACGUGGGUGAUCUGCCCUGCACUUCGGGAUAAGCCUGGGAAACUGGGUCUAAUACCGGACAUGACCUCCUAUCGCAUGGUGGGUGGUGGAAAGAUUUAUCGGUGCAGGAUGGGCCCGCGGCCUAUCAGCUUGUUGGUGGGGUAAUGGCCUACCAAGGCGACGACGGGUAGCCGACCUGAGAGGGUGACCGGCCACACUGGGACUGAGACACGGCCCAGACUCC
rnacentral:rRNA from 1 species